GUAUCUUAUAUUACAGUGUGAGUUAAUGGUAGAACCAGGGUUUGAACUCAUAUUACUUAAUUUUUCUAGUAAUAUUUAUUGACCCUCAUCGUAGGCCAAGCUCAAUACUGAGAAUACUAUAAUUAUAAGGUAGAUAUGAUCCCUGCCCUCAUACAGCUUAAAUUGCAGUGGGACAAGUGGACGAGUAACUAUACAAAUACAAUGCAGGUGAUAAGUACUAUAGAUAGUGGAAUGUAGUAGGAGAAUUCAGGGUGAAAACACCUCAGGCUGACUUGGUGUCAGGGAGAGCUUCCUGGAUAAAGUGAAUACUUGUUUGAGAACUGAAGGACAAGUUGACAAUGACCACUCUCCUCUCCUGUAACAAACUACCUCUUUUUUUUUUUAGUCUGUUUUUCAUCUUUUUCCUCAUUUCUAUUUUUUUUGUUCAAUCCCUUGCUUAUUUUUGAGCCAUAGAAAUGCAACUUUUGAGAAAAAUUUUCAUAUCUUUAUUCAUGCCUGGGGAUUCAUGCAUGAUUGAGGCUCACAGCCUGUUUCUUGACUUUGUCCCUUGGGUUACAAAUGACUUGGAAUAAUGCCGGGCAACUUUGUAGGAGCAGGACCUGAAUGAAGGAGAUAAGAUAAGGCAAACCUAAUGCAACUUCAGCGUAGAUGUAUGAUGUUUGAUUCAGAACUCUGUACCAGCUCAUUUUGUCCUUGGGGGUGCAAGGACAGGGUAAAAUUUGUUUAACUAAGAUGGCCAGGAGGCAUUUAUUGGCCUUCUAGGUUAUGUGUAUUUGAUUUAAUGGAAUGAAAACAGUUAUUUACUAAACCAUUAGGAAAGAAACAUUUGACUUGAUAGCAAUUGUUCAAGUUUUUAAAAAAAAAUCUAACGUAAAAUAGAUUUGUGUGUGUGUGUACGCACACAUGUAUAUUAUUAAGAAACUUUUGUGUCUGUCUUACUAAAAAAGUAUAGCUUUGUGGUAUUAAAAUUUAUUUUUCAUCUUUUUCUUUUGCCUACUCGGUGACUAUUUCCUUUCUUUAUUAAGAGUUUCUUUAGGAAUAUAAAUAAAAGUGAGAGGGAAAAUGAGAGCACAAUGGGUUUCAGUGAGUAACAAAAGGAUGAAUGGAAUUCCUGUAGAAGAUAAAGUGGGUGGAAGGGCAAAGGUCAUUUAAACUCUGGGCAGAAACUGCUAAUACUUGGGGUCAGACAGCAGGGAUGUGGAUGAAGGAGGGUUAGUGAAGGAAUGUAGUUUCCUUUUAGGAAAAAAACAAAACAAAACUGGAGGCCUUAAGUGAGUCUAAGCUAAAUCUUUACAUUUUUAAAUAAAGUUCCAUUAUUUUAGUAUGUUUCGUUGUAUGCCUUGCGUACCCACAGACAGGAAUAACCUGGCAAAGCAGACUAGGGGCGGUACUUACCCAGUUUUGUUUGGGUUCCCCACCCCCAGACCCUGCUCCUCUCUUUAAGUAGAAUCUGCUCACCCCCCUCACACCCCAAUGGUGUUGUCUUUAGGCCUGUGAUCUGAGUCCAGCUCUGCAGGGAGAGCUGCUCCUGUGAGUGCCCUUUGGAAAGUGGCACCUGUAUAAACAGCCGCAUCUCCCCUUGUCUUGUGUUGUAUCUUGGUGGUUUUUGACACAGUACACAAGCAGUUGAGGAAAAGGGGGCUUUCUAAACAAGUGUCUUCCACAGAGGUAGAUCUGCUGGAACUGGACUAAUCGUCACAGUCUUCUGUUAGGUUUAUCUUCCCAGCCGAGCUCACAGCAGCCAGAACCUGGAGGGCUGAGCUUCAAGAGUGCAGACCACUGUGGAGCUGACCACAUAUAUAGACAGAACUCUGAGCUUUUUAAAAGUUCUUUCUGGGAUAGAGGCCAGAGUCUAAAUCCUAAAGGGCUUUAGUGUAUUGUGGUGAGUUAUUUUAAAAUGUAAGAAUUUUGGUUUAGCAGAUGGUAUAAUAUCCGGAAGUUAGCAGAUCUCAUUUCUUUUUAGAUUACUGCCUAUUCUACUUUGUCCCUAACCUGUUUAUUCAUUUCCCAUUGGUAGAAUGGCAACAGUUCUAAAUGUAAUUUUCUUACAUUUUCCGCGGCUUUGCGUAUCUUCUGCUGCACACCCUGUAAAGACUGGACCCUUGAUAUUCCCAGGGUAUCCUGAGAGCUUGAAGCUGAAAUUUUCAGUACAGGUUUCCCCUGCUAUCCAAAAGUAGAGUGUUCCUUUGCAACCUUUCGUAAGCCAAAAUGGUGCAAAGGGAAGAAGCAAAUAGUAUCAAUUUAUGUGGGAAAGUUUUUGAGCAUUUCCAGGCCCCAAAAAUAACCUCUUGUAGGCUUUUCUGAUACCUUAGGACACGUCUUCCUAAUGGAUGCACAAAAUAAAUAGAGAUAAAGCACAGAUGUUCACAGACACAGUUCAAAGCUAUGGAGCUUGGCGCUGAGAUGCUGAGUGUAGCUUCAGGAAAAAGGAGCUUGGUGAUGCCUCUCUGGCUGCACGAGGGGCGUACCGCGUCUGUAACGACUGGUUGCAAAACAAAUGAUGAAUGCUGUUUUUGCUCUUUGCCUUUUUCAUAAUAGCAAAAUUCCUUCUGGGAUUUCUUUCAGGUUACCUGGAACAGAUACAGGUUUUCCCUUGUAUCCAAAGGUAGAGGGUUCUAUGAAACCUUUUAUAAGUAAAAAUGGCUUAUAGUGAAGAAGCAGUUACCAUUGUGUAAAAGUGAAUCCUCAGAAUUCUUUUGGUUAGCAAAAACAGGUAGUAAUGUAGGUCUUUUGUAAAAGCAAAGAGGUAUAAGGUGAAUGUUCAAAAUGCAGGGGAUGCCUGUGUAACUUAUCUUUAUAGCAACUUUGUGGAGCUUUGCAUAUGGUGAGUGCUUGACCCAAUUACUUAAUUUGAAUCCUAUGAGCAGUGUUUUUUGUAUGUUAGACAUCAGGGCACAUCCCUGGUGAGGACUGGUUGCAAGAGGUUACGAAUCCAGUGGAACUUCAAGCAUCCCCUGUAACCAGAAUCAUGUAUGGCACACAAAGGUAUCAUUUUCAAAUAGUUGGAAGUACUGUGUCAUUUAUAGUAGUAAAUAUUUCAUACAUUUCAUCAUUCUUUCUCAACAUUCUCUUGAAGUGUUCUGAUAUAUUUAAGAGUGCUCUUUAGAACCAGUGUUCUUAAUUCCUUGAAAUUACUGAUCUCAUAGACGGUAGGUGCUCUGUAUGCUUCUCAGGUUGCUGCGUUUGCUGCAUUCCAGAAUUCCAUUACUGUUUUUUCCCAUUUAAAGACAUUAAUUAAGGGGCACCUAGCUGGCUCAGUUGGAGGAGCAAGCGACUUUUGAUCUUGGGGGUCAUGAGUUCGAGCUCCACGUUGGGUGUGCAGAUUACUUAAAGAAACAAACUUAAGAAAAAGAUAUUAACUUAAAAAUGUAUUUAUUAUUCUUGUGGUGGUGAAGAGGGGAAUAACCAAUUAUAAAAUGCUCCAAAUUCUAAGCCUAGUUAAAAUGUAAAUGUCCCUAAUGAGCUGGAAUGAGGCGGCUUGCCAAAGGGGAUCUGAGAACUCCUUUGGACAUGGUUUGCUUGUUUUCUUAAGUCAAGAUAUGGGUUUUUCCCCUCUGUGUGUGUAUGUGUGUGUUGUUAAGAAAUAUUUCAAAUAUCCUUGAUGUUCUCUUUCCUUUUCUUGAGUUAGGAAAAUUUCAUUCAGCGUUGGUAUGGUAUGUUGGCAAAUUUCAAGAAAGGGAAAGAUAGAAAUUUAUUAGUCCGGUUAAGGAUGUCGUUAUGUCUGGUUAAAGGCUCCUCUCAGAGUUACUGCCUAUAUUACUAAGUGAAAAAAUGUGCUGGGAGAUUUUUCUGACAGGUGAGUAUUUGUCAACACCUUAAUGAGAUCAAAUGGCUUAAAAAUAACUCAAGAAGGAUAUGCUCAGUGUUGCACUAUGUCCCUCAGUUUAGGGUAGUAUAUUUGACAUGCCUGAAGAUUGGCCUGCAUUUUUAGGUGAUUUGAUCUUAUUUUUACAAAGACAGAGUUAUUAAAUAUAAAAGAGAGUUCAUGGGAGACUUUGCCAUGCUUAUUAUUGCCUUAUCAGUGGUAUUACAAAAAUGUAAAUUAGUUUUCAUCAUAGAAGUCUGACAAGUUAUUUCUGUUUCUCCAAACCCAUACAUGUGGUGUUAAUUUUGACCUGAUUCAUAGGUCCUCUGAUACCCUAACACACAAAAAGUGUGUGUAAAAUAGCUAGACUUAUUGGCAUUAACUUUCUUGCAGCUCUUGCCAACAAAGAAAUACUACGUACUAAAUUUGAAUCUGGUUUCAAAACAAAUGUCAAAAUUUUAAAACACUGGAUUUACUGGAACAUAAAUAGCGUAUUUAAUGAAGCUAUUUCUCUUGAAUCCCUUGUUGUUCUGUCAGCAUAUGAGGCAACUUCACAUUGCUGGUAAAUUUCCAUUUUAAUAUAUGAUUCCUAUCUUUCAUUCACUAAUGACUGAUUGAGACAGAGAAAGGAAAUUCAGCCUUCUUAUAAAAUCUUUUAAUUAACAAAUCGACUUCUUAAUGUUUUAAAUUGGUUCAAAUUCCAGAAACAAGAUAUGAGCCCAGACUCUUCAAAGGGAAGAAGUUGCUAUCUGUGAUAGCUAGACAGGAUUUGGUCUUAUUUGUGUCACUUAGGUGUAUGUUAAAUACCCAGCGUCACACUCUAAUUGUUUUUAGCAUAUGAAAAACCUUAAACUUGGUAUACUUCAGGAAAUUUUAUGUUUGAAGGUUAUUGGAUAGGCGGUAUAUUAUUUUAUUGUAGAAAUACGCUGUUUUAAUUUUGAGGAUGAUAAAGCCUCUGACAGGGAAUAAGGUAAUUUAAUGAAAUUAUGUGCUGGAAGUUUUGUUGAAUUAGUUUGAUUAAAAGAAGAUAUAUCCCUCAAAAUUAAAAGAAGCUACUGUAUUCAGGACCUUUAGGGAAACAGAUGGAAAAUAGUAUCACAUUCUUUAGAAUGUGAUUCUUUAGAAACCAAUUCUCUAUUUUAUCAUAUUCAGUGUGGGAUUUGUUUUGCCUUAUUUCAUCUUAUUUAAUACGCUAUCAUGAAGUUUUACUUAUCCCUUGAGUUCCUUUUUCGUCGGGGUUUAAAUAUGGAAGAGUAAAUUAGAAUGAGGGAGAGAAAGAGAUUACUGUUAACUUUUGAAUCCCUCUAAGUGCCAAGAUUAUGCUAGACACUUUCUUCACAGUAGUCUUUGGGAUAAAAACAGUUUAAAUUCUUGUUUUGCAAAAAGUAACUGUUCAAGAGCACACACCUAGUUAAAUGCUGUUAGUUUAGCACCAAGCUCUGUAUUCUUUCUUCUGUAAUGUGCUUUUUUUUCCUGUUGUUUGAGAGAGAGAGAGAGAGCGCGAGCAGGGGUGUGGGAAGAAGGGCAAGAGGAGAGGGAGAGAGAAUCUUAAACAGGCUCCAUGCUCAGCGUGGAGCCCGAUGCAGGGCUCAAUCCCAUGACCCUGGGAUCAUGACCUGAGCUGAAACCAAAAGUCAGAUUUUCAACUCUCUAAGCCACCCCUUUAUGUAUGUAUGUAUGUACAUAUAUAUGUAUGUAUGUAUGUAUAUAUAUGUGUAUUUAUGCAAUGUGCUUCUAAAUGUAUGAUUUCAUAGAAUCACAGAUUGCUGGCUGGUACCUCUUAGGGAGUCUGGAAGAGCAGAUCACAAGAGUUAUCUAUUGACUAGAAUUGAAGGGAAAAAUGCAGAUUAUUUAAUUAUUCAUUUAGCAAAUAUUGUCACAUGCCAGAUACUGUUCUAGAUGUACCUUCAACCAAAUAGGCAAAAUAGCUUACAUUUUUUUUUACAUCAUGUAGCUAUAAUUUAUACAUUUAUAGAAGAGAACUCUUAUUUCUGGUAGGGAUUGUUGAGCAGUUAGAACAACUCCAAGGUAUCUUCAUUUUGGAGGAACUACAAUUUUUUUUUAAUGUUUAUUUAUCUUUGAGAGAAAGAGAGAGAGGGAGAGACAGAGUGUGAGCAGGGGAGGGGCAGAGAGAGAGGGAGACACAGAAUCCAAAGCAGGCUCCAGGCUCUGAGCUGUCAGCAUAGAGCCUGAUGCAGGGCUCUAACCCACAAACUGCAAGAUCAUGAGCUGAAGGCAGAUGCUUAACCAGCUAAGCUACCCAGGUGCCCCUACAUCAAAAUGUUUUGAGUUGUGAGUUAAUAUUCUCUGAUGCACUUCAUAUAUCUAGCAACUAUGUUAAUAUGUGGCAUAAUUGAAAAGUACUAAAUAACAGCAUUUCUUUAGGUGUGUUCUCUAGAGUAUUUUGUUAAGUCAUUUUGGAAAAUGUGUGCUUAAGUAUAAAGAGAUUUCUUUUUGUUAAAACUUCUUAGAGCCCUCAAUAUGCUAGCUAAUAUGCAUUGUUAAUUUUGCACAGUAUUCCCCAAACUUUUCUCCUUUUUAAAGUUUAUUUAUUUUGAGAGAGAGAGAGAGAGAGAGAGAGAGAGAGAGAGAGAGAGAGAGGGAGGGAGAAAAUGUGUGUGUGCGCGCGCGCUCACGAGAGCUGGGGAGGGGCAGAGAGAUAGAGACUCUCACGCAGGCUCCACACUGUCAGCACAGAGCCCAUCUCAGAACUUAAACUCACGAACCAUGAGAUCAUGACGUGAGCUGAAAUCAAGAGUCAGGCGCCUAGGCACCUAAGCCACCAGGUGCCCCAAACUUUUUUUCUAUCAUCUGUCUAGCCCAAAUAGUGUUCAGGAGAACUUCACAGUACUACCUAGAUAUAGAAUGCUAUGUCCUCCUCUUUUACCUUUUUUUUUUUCUUUCAUGCUCAGAAAGCUCAUAAUUGGGUCUUUUAAGGUUCUUUUAUUGAAGACCUCAGCAUUUCUAAUGGUACACAUAUUAAACUUUAGGUACAAAGAUUAAAUAUCUAAUGACAACAAUAUAUGUAAAGAACUCCAAGGAACUCAUUUGUCAUAGACUGCUUCCCUGCUUGUCAUGAAGUUGCUAGGUAAAAUUAUUAUGUUAUUUCUUUAGAAAUAGGCACUUACACAGGCCUGGAAUUAACUGAUACUUUGGUUUUUGAAGGUAGGUAUUUACUACCAUUGUGUUUUCAGAGGUUCAGACAAUUGUCACCAUGCUUUAAACCCAAAUAAUAAUUAUAAGCUGGUGGCAAGAUGAAGACUUUUAUUCAUUUUAAAUUACCCUUUAAAAAGAACCACAUCCCUCCUUCAGAUGAGUUGGUAAACUGAAAUAGUUCUGCCCACCCCGGACUCCAUUUUUCAUCUACACAGAGACUCACUGUUUGAGUUUGUUAAAUGUGUACUCUAUUUGCCUACAUGUGUGGGCACAAGAGAAAAUAGAGAGGGCUGAGACUCAAGGUUGAUCUCAUACCAGGAACCAGCCUCCUACAGAGGGAAGUAAGCAUUAAAAUGAAGGAGCAGAGUAAAGAAACAGUUUUUGUUAGGGCCGUAGAACAAACACUGUCCUUUAUCUUCCAGCACUCAAACACUGUGUAGCACAAAAUAUCAAUAAAUAUUUGCCGAAUAACUAAAACAGUAACUUCCUCUUUAAUUCUGAAUCCUGAGGUCAGAGAGAACUGAGUUCUGGGGAACUCAAGAUAUUUUCUUUUUUAGGUUGACAGUUUGAUAGGUUUUGUGCUUACAUGUUUUAUAUACAUUGUCUUAUCUUAUCCUUAAAACACCUGAAUGAGGUACUUUUCCAUUUUACAGAUGUGUAAACUGAAGUUUGAGAAUGCUAGAUACUGUGCCCAAAGACCCUUAUUUCGUGACUAGUGAAGCCUAGAGUGAAUCCAAGUAGGCUGAUGCUGGUGCUUGCAGUUUUAACCAGCUACCAGGUUUCUCUGCUUGCCUCUGUAGUGAUGAGAGAUGGGAUUUUGGUUCUUUUUUUUUAAAUUUUUUAAUGUUUAUUUAUUUUUUGAGAGAGAGGGAGACAAAGCAUGAGCAGGGGAGGGACAGAGAGUGAGGGAGACACAGAAUCUAAAGGAGGAUCCAGGCUCUGAGCCAUCAGCACAGAGCCCAACGUGGGGCUCGAACUCACGAACCAUGAGAUCGUGAUCUGAGCCGAAGUUGGGCACUCGACCGACUGAGCCACCCAGGCGCCCCAGGGGAUUUUGGUUCUUAUUCCCAGAAUUUUAAUAGUUAAAUCUUUUAUUUACAUUGGAAAGAAUAAAAUCAAUGUAUGAUUCUGACUGGGAAAUAGGAGCUGCAGGGGAAGUCUAAUGUUUUCCCUGUGACAUCACAGGAAGUUACCAUGGAAAUGAUUAUGGUAUUAUGAAUACAGAAUUAUAACCUUGAGUGGGAAAUAAGCUGCCUACGAGACAAAAUGCUGAGAAAUAGCAAAGUUGUUGUCAUGACAGUGCCUUUCAGAUUUUCGAUGAACAAAUUUAGCAACAUGAAGUCUAAAUGCCUAGUCCCUCUUAGCAUUCCCGAAACAUCAGUGUUAAAUUAUUCUUUUAACUCUCCCUGGUUUUGUUACUACUUUCAGAACUUGUUGAAAGUAAAAUAAUUCCCAUGUGUGCAUAUGUGUUUUUAGUUUAGCAAAUAUUUUUGUUGUUGUUUUUUUUCUGAUCCUCAUUGCCUAUACUCCUCUAAUUCCUCCUUCAAGAUAUUCCCAGUAGAGAUAAACCGUUUCCUGGUCUUUGCAUCAACACAUUCCCUGUAAAGUAUGUUAGCGCUGGUAUUUGUUAAUUGUUAAAGCCAACUCUGGCAGUCAGAUGGAGGGGGGUAUAGUGAAAAACAGUGUUAUUUUUUCCAUAGCAAAUUUAAUUCCAAAAUCAUCGUUUCUAUAUCUGUUCAGUAAAUGCAAUUCUUUCCAAAAAAAAUGCUUGUUUAAAAAACAUUGGUCAUAUACUGUAAACCUUGUCAAAGAAAGUUGGAAGUGGUGACAGUGCUAUAUUAUUGCUCAUCGUCUUAAUUUCUUUAUAUUUGGAAUCUUCUAGUGUUUUUAUUUAUUUAGCUAACAUUGUGUCUGACUUGCUCCAGGGCACACUGAAGACUUCUGUUAUUACUGUCCUUUUGCUUUGAAAGGGCUAACAGUUCUAGACAGGAAUUUCAUAGUUGUUCUGGCCCCUUAAGCUCUAGAAAUGUGUCAGUUUACUUAUUUCAGUUAGUACCACUGAUUACUCUGGGAUCCAAAAUAUCUCUCUUCCUAGUCAAUUCUGGGAUCUGAAGUAUUUUCCUACCCUAUGAUUAGGAAGAGAAUAGUGAAUAAAUGGAGGUUUCUUUUCAAUGAAAGGGAAUUUAAAAGUGGUAAAAGGAAGACAUAGCUGAAUUGGUCACAGAUUAAUUGCCAGCGUAUCAGGUGACAGUAAUACUUGACAUAUAUGAAAGACUAUGUGAGGUAUAUAUGUGUUGUGAAACUUACCUAUAAACUGGUAAACCUAGCACCCAACUUAAGAUUCAGAACAUUACCAGUACCAGCAAAGCUAUUUGUAUGUUCAUUCACUGUCCUGUUCCUCUUCCAAUUUGGGUUUAACAUUCACUUGUUUUAUAAAAAGAGAGUUGUGUAGUUUACCACAGAAGUACAAGUAGUUUUGAAGAAAUAGCACAUCAGCUUAGCAAUUCGUUUUUUUUGGUUCAGUAUUGUGCUUAUUCACCCAUGUUGGUGUGAGCUGUGGUUCAUUCUUACUGAUGUAUACAUUUCUUUUCCAGUCUUUACUUUGACUUGUGGCUUAUUUAGAAAUGUUUAAAAUUUUCCCCAAUAUAUGGGGAUUUUAAAUUUAUUUUUAUAUUAUUGAUUUCUAACUUAAUUGCUUUGUGAUUGCGGACAUGGUCUAUAUAAUAUCUAUUCUUGGAAAUCCAUUGAUACUUGUAUUGUGGCUUAGCAAAACAAAAUUUUUGAAAUGGGUAUGUGAAAACUAUACUCUGAUUAUUUGGCAUACUGCAUGUGUCUACUACAUUGAACAUUUUUUGGAAUUUCCUACUGUAUUAAAGGUUUAUUAAUGUCUCCUGUGUGUUUUUUUUUUUAAAGGUUUAUUUAUUUUGAGCUAAAGCAACCAGGGGAGGGGCAGAGAGACAGGGAGAGAAUCCCAAGCAGGCUCUAGGCUCAGUGUGGAGCUCGAUGUGGGGCUCAGUCUCACCACUGUGAGAUCAUGACCUGAACCAAAAUCAAGAGUUCGACACUUAACUGACUGAGCCACCCAGGCACCCCCCCCCCAUGUUUUUAUUAAAUUUUGCUUUAUACAUAUUUAAGGCUAUUUUAAUAUAUGUAGAGAGAGAAUUGUUAUACCUUCCUGUUAAGUUAAAUUUUUAUCAUUAUAUGCUCUCUAUUUCUUUAAUAUUUUUGUUUUGAAGUUCAUUUUUUAAAUGAUAUUAAUGCAUUUUAACGUCAUUUGUUUAGGUUAAUAUUUGGUAUAUUUUUUCCAUGUUUUAUUUGCGUUUUUCCAUGUCUUUAUGUUUUAGGUAUAUCUCUUGUAUUGCUGGAUUUUAUUACUGUUUUAAAAUACAUCAUAACAAUCUCUAAUAUUUAACUGGCAGAUUAAUUUACAUUUAUUACGAUUGCUGAUAUGUUUCAUCUUAUACUUUCUAUUUGUCUCACUUUUUAGUCUUUCUUUUUUCUCUUUUAUUUCCCUUUUUUAAUUGGUUGAAUUUUGUUUGUUUUUUUUUCUUUUUUUGAGAGAGAGCCAGUGCACAAUUGGCAAGUGGGGGAGGGGCAGAGGGAGAGUGAAUCUUAAGUAGGCUCCACACCCAGUACAGAGCCGACUUGGGGGCUCCAUCUCAUGACCAGGAGAUCUUGCAUGACUUGAACUGGACUCAAGUUGAAUGCUUACCGGACUGAGCCACCACACACCCCUUGCUUGUUUUCUUAUUCCACUAUACUAUACCUCUGGUUUGGAAAUUAUAACAAGUCUCUCAGCUGAGAUCCUAAACUUAUGUCCUUCUCCUCCCCUUCUUCCUCCUCCUCCUCCUCUUCUUCUUUUUUUUUUUUUUUUUAAUUACUUACUUACCAAAGUAAUCUCUACACCCAGUGUGGGGCUCUAACUCACAAGUAUCACAAUGAUACUCUAAGGAUUGGUGGGGCCACACAAUGGAAAGAACCUGAGACCUUGAAUCUCUAUGUGGAGGAGAACCGCUUGCCAACCAAAAUUAGACUGUUUUGAGAAAUACUGUGUUAAGCCACUGAAAUCCAGGGGGUUUGUUAUAGUAGAUGGUAUUUUCUUGAGUAAUGUAGAAAUUGUGCACUGUUUUUCUUUUUAGUGAUCCUCUUGUCCAUGUAUAACUAGCAGAGUCUAAAGUGAAAUCUGAUUUUAAACCCAUCUCCCAUAAUACAAGGAUCUUAGAACACACCUCCAGUUGUGUCCCUCUUAUCUUACAUGUUCUUCUUUUUUUUUUUAAACCCUAGGCAUUAUUAUUGUUUUGCUUUGCCUCCAUUUUACCGAUUUAUUUCCUGCCUUCUUUUCUUGUCACUCAGACUUGUUUCCUAGAGUCAUUUUCCUUCUUGAAGUAUGUACUUUAGAAGUUCUAGUGGGCAAAACUCUACUGGUAAUAAAUCCUCUCAGUUUUUACUUGUCUGAAUGUGUCUUUAUUUUUCUCUUGUUCUUUUAAGUCUAGGUUGAUGGCUAUUUUAUGUAAACACUUCAAAGAUAUUGUCAUGAACUUUGGCCUUUAUUUCUGUUGAAAUCUGUUUUCAGUCUAAUUGUCAUUCCUUUGCUAGAUGCUCUCUUUUUUUUUCUCUUUUUAUAGUCUUAUCUUUGUGCUUGAUGUUCUGCAAUUUGAUUAUAAUGUAACUAGGUGUGAUUUCUUUUUAUUUAUCCUCUUUAGUAUUCAUUUUGCUUAAUGUAUUUAUUUAUACUUUUCAAAGAUUUGGACAAAUUGGAUGAUCUAAAAAAGGUCAAUCAUUUGAUUUAUUUCCAGAGAGAGUGCAUUAUUUUUAACAAAUUUAUUUUCAAAUAUACAAAUCAAAAUUCAUGUGUUGGUAUGUAUAUAUUAUAUUGAACAUGAUAUAAAAAGUAGGAGAAAAAUAUAUUUUUAAAAUUUAUUUAUUUUCUAUACUUACAAAGGUGUAUAAUGUCAAGUACAGAUUUAUAUUGGCCAGUCCUGUGAAAAACUACAGCACAUAAAAAGUUAAGAACCUGGUGACAACAUUCUUCCCUAUGUAGACCAUAUGCAAUGCCGAAGGAGAACACUAAUAUUAAUAUAAUCAAGAAUGUUAAAAAUAUUCAUUUGCUUGUAUUCUAAGAGUUAGGACUUUAUUGGUGGUUUAAAGUGUUGAAAGCUAUGGUAACCUGACAAUUUCUGAUUACAGAAAGCAAAUGAAAGGUAGAGACAGAAGACCUUGUUGUGGACCUUUCCAUAAUGUAAUUUAUCUUUUGCUCCAGCACAAAAAUAUUGACAGAAAGGGUGGAAAAUCUUAUUAGAUGCAAUAAUUUUAUACCAAGUGAUUUCUCUAAAGCACUAUUAUAAGACUUUUUCAUUUCUUCCUUCAAGGGAGAACAUUCUGAUUUUAAGGGUCACUUUGUAUUUAACAUUCCACUCGUGUGUAUCAAUUGUUUUUUCUUAUACAACAGAGACAACAGUUGAAACUUUUAAUAUUUUCUAUUGAUUAGCGUCCUGUAGUCGAGUGCCAACUUUUAGUCAUAUUUUAUUUUAUUUUAUUUUAUUUUAUUUUAUUUUAUUUUAUUUUAUUUUAUUUUUAUUUUGUAAAAGUUUAUUUGAGAGAGUGGGGGGAGGGGCAGAGAGAGAGAGAGAGAGAGAGAGAGAGAGAGAGAGAGAAAGGGAGAAAGAGAGAA